rnacentral:sRNA from 1 species
AUAUCUUGUUUACACUAGGGCUGUGUCAUGGGUCUUGCCGGAGACAUAGUUUGGUUAACAUACGAUAAUCAGCGACCUAGUGGUGAAAAAGAAUAACACAUUUUUGUGAACCCCUGAGACCA